GACGAACGCUGGCGGCGUGCUUAACACAUGCAAGUCGAACGGAAAGGCCUUUUCGGCGGUACUCGAGUGGCGAACGGGUGAGUAACACGUGGGUGAUCUGCCCUGCACUCUGGGAUAAGCCUGGGAAACUGGGUCUAAUACCGGAUAGGACCGCACUUUAGUGUGUGUGGUGGAAAGUUGUUUCGGUGUAGGAUGAGCCCGCGGCCUAUCAGCUUGUUGGUGGGGUAAUGGCCUACCAAGGCGGCGACGGGUAGCCGGACUGAGAGGUUGGUCGGCCACAUUGGGACUGAGAUACGGCCCAGACUCCUACGGGAGGCAGCAGUGGGGAAUAUUGCACAAUGGGCGCAAGCCUGAUGCAGCGACGCCGCGUGGGGGAUGACGGCCUUCGGGUUGUAAACUCCUUUCGCCAGGGACGAAGCGUUUUGUGACGGUACCUGGAGAAGAAGCACCGGCUAACUACGUG
rnacentral:rRNA from 1 species